UGGUCAAUGUUGAGAUGUUAUAUUUUCUUGAACAGGGAUGAUGACAUAAAAAUUAUAUUCAAUGGAAUUAUGUGGAGAGCCA
rnacentral:snoRNA from 1 species